rnacentral:tRNA from 1 species
AUAUUUAUAGUAUAAAUAGUACAAUUAAUUUCCAAUUAAUAAGUUUAUAAAUUAUAAUAAAUAUA